GGGGGCGACAUGGCUUCGACGCCGGUGACAACCCCUGAGGUGCAUGCCGAGAGCGUGAUGUAUCUCGUAAAUCCAACAUCACGAUAAAAUAGUCGCAAACGACGACAACUACGCUCAAGGCGCACUGGCAGCGUAACAGCUGCUAGUUGUUAGCCUGGCCCGAAAGUGAUGCGCCCAUUCAUCACGGACGGGAUACGAGCCAAGAUUAAUGGGAUCGCGUCUGACGGCGUCUCCCCGUCAGUCGUUAAAUCGAAGGAGAAUCGCGCUUCUGAAUCCUGUUCGUCGGAGUCAGCGGCGUUAAAGCAAAUGACGAAACUAAGCAUGUAGAGCCGAUGGGCGAGUACCGGCGGACGCGGGUUCGAUUCCCGCCGCCUCCACCA
rnacentral:tmRNA from 1 species